AUUGAACGCUGGCGGCACGCCUAACACAUGCAAGUCGAACGGCAUCGGGCUUUACCGAAAGGUAAAGUGCCGGCGAGUGGCGAACGGGUGAGGAACGCGUAGGAAUCUACCCCAAAGACAGGGAUAGCCAGUGGAAACGCUGGGUAAUACCUGAUGAAGUUCUAAGGAAGAAAGGCUGGCGCAAGCUGGCGCUUUGGGAGGAGCCUGCGUUGGAUUAGCUAGUUGGUAGGGUAAAGGCCUACCAAGGCAGUGAUCCAUAGCUGGUCUGAGAGGACGGACAGCCACACUGGGACUGAGACACGGCCCAGACUCCUACGGGAGGCAGCAGUGGGGGAUAUUGGACAAUGGGGGCAACCCUGAUCCAGCGAUGCCGCGUGUGUGAAGAAGGCCUGCGGGUUGUAAAGCACUUUUGGUUAUGAGGAGAAGCAUCCAAUGAAUAGUUGGAAGCAGAGACGUUAGUAACAGAACAAGCACCGGCUAACUCUGUGCCAGCCGCCGCGGUAA
rnacentral:rRNA from 1 species